rnacentral:lncRNA from 1 species
UGGGGGCGGCUAGGGUUUUCUUCUUAGGGGUGGCAUCCACAAGAGAGAGGAGAAAAGAUGAGAAAAAGAUUAAGAAGAAAAUUUAUUCUAUUGCUCAUGUAAUCAGAUUACAUCACAUAUAUUUAUAUAUGUACAAAUUGGUCUAAUUCAAGACCAAACCCAAACAACUCCCAUAGCUAACCAACAUAUGAUUGCACUCAUCCAAGCCUAUGUACACCAUG